rnacentral:lncRNA from 1 species
CGUCAAAGUUUUGGUAGAAUAAUAUAGCACGUCUUCUGUCUACUCCUAAUGUUUGUUGUAGUCUUCAAAAAUCUUGAAGUCAGCUAGCGCUCACCUCCUGACAGUUCACCUUCGACUUCGAUUCUUAACUUUGGAUGGUUGAUACUUCUUCUGAUCUUUGAAGUGCACCAUGAUAAGUUGAAAAAAAAAAGUAAAAAAAAAUCCAAAUAAAAAAGAAAAAAAAGAAAAGAAGUUUGAAUUGUGUGGCAUGGAGGCAACAAAUUUCCCCAUAAAAUCGACUUGUUGACAUCGUCAAUAUCAAGACAUGGCAAACUCAAAGACCUUAUUUAUAGUGAUUGGAAGCAAAAUCCCGACGGGAGUAAGAAUCAAAGUUGGUCCUUACCUUUCAUUGCUGAGACUCGAUAGGAAAUUGAUAAUUGACUGGCGUUAUGAAC